CAACUUAAAAUAAAUAAAUUGGAAUUGCCAAAAAGUGAAAGAAGGGACGUUUAUGAGAGCAGAGUUAAACAUACACUAGGAAGUUUGAAGCUAACUAUGUCUGAAAGAGGACAAGACAUCAAAAAAGAGUAUCCACAGUGUGAUUACACAGGAGCACACAUUCUCAGCUGUAAGCAUGUGAAUUAUUUUAUUACUGCAUUAAUGAAUUGGAAAACAUUUAUUGCUUUCAAUAUUGUCAAUUGUGAUAAUAGCAAGGUGUACUUAAGCAUGCUUGUUUGUAUUUAACUUGAAUCUACAGAAACCAGGACACCUGGAAAAAGGAAGCAGGGCCUGCUGUGGGCAAGUAAGGUAUUGAAAGGAGACAAAAGCAGAGGCUACUUUGAGCAUUUCUAACCAACCAAAUACAGUGGGGGUGGGGAGGGCGGAGGGAGGGGAAGAGUUAGAAAGACACCCACUUGUCUGUGUGGGUCUGUUUGUGUCCAAAAUGGGACAGGGGGACCCUGAUGGUCACUUCCUGUUUUGCAGGGAAGGACAGUUUCCAUCCCAGCUACAAAUUCAAUUUCCAUUUUAUUUCAAAAUUAGAGCCAUUAAUCAGGGCUCCAUAAACAAUGGUAUUGAUUACUCAGUAGCAAACGUGCAAUUCCUUUGAAAAGUUAAGGAGGGAAGAUUAACAACUAUUUCCUACAUAAGCUACUUCAAGAAGGAAGCAUAAGCAGAAUGACUGAAAUAGCCAGCUGAGCAUUUACCUUAUAUCAAUACGUAUUAUAAAAGCAUGAUUGGGCAAAAGUUCAUAUUUUCAGUAAAAAAGGUGGAAAAUCUCACUUAGGAAUGAAUUUAGUGAAUUAAGACCUGGAGAAAUUAAAGAAUCCCAGGAGGACUUUUUGGAUGAUUCAUCUCUUCAUAGUAAGAUGACAAUAGUAAUUACAUAUUUGCUAUGGCACAUAAUAGAAUAAUCUAGCAAUAUUGAUCUCUAAUAACUUUCAUGAAAGAUAUGAUUGCUUUGCUAAUAGUCACUUUUUUUGUAUGAAUUUACUAAUAUAAAUUAACAUAUGAAUACUGGAAAAACAAAAAGACAUGACAGUAAAUGUAGGAUAAAUCCCAGCAGCAUUGAGAGUUUCAUUAUAAGACAGGGACAGAGGUAUUAGCAACAAAAAUAAGACAGUAGUAUUUUUAUUGCUAAUAACUCAGUUCUUAAAAUGCUCUGAACCAGCACAUUUGUUUUUAUGGCCAUGUCAUGUGUCACCUGGAUUCCCAAUCUAAUUCAACAUGACACUAAGUGCAGCAGAUACUUGGGAUUACAGAAGUGCAACAUGACUGUAGCAGCAUACAGCCAGAAAAAGAAAGUCAUUAGGGACACCACUAAAAAAAAAACCCUGAAAAUGGGGAUUUAUAGAGCUGGUUUCCAACCUGUUCCUGAAAGACUGGCCACUGAGAGCAUCUGAAAUAGUUAUGCUUUUACCCUUUCCCCAAAGUUCCAUGAGGCAAUGUAUCACAAGUAGUUACUGCUCUGCAUUUUAUAGUCUUUAUAGGGUUAGUUUUAAGAGAUUUCAUGUCACAAGGUAUGGUUGGUUGUGGCUCACAGAGGAAACAGUCUCCUGAAAAUAAUAAGCCAAAGACACAUUCAUUCAGCGGCUGCAGUGAAUAACUGAGGUCUGAGCUAUGACCUCUCUGAAAUGGAGAACAUCAUAAAUGCACCUGCAGGGACUGGAUUGAGACCUGAAGCUUUUGUCACCCAAAAGAGUAGGUAGCACUCAAGACACCUUGCAUUGGUGAGAUUUUCUUUUUUUUU